rnacentral:misc_RNA from 1 species
AAAGUCGUAACAAGGUUUCCGUAGGUGAACCUGCGGAAGGAUCAUUAUCGUGGGGCUUCGGCCCCGUCGAGAAAGCACCCUUGCCUUUAUGAGUACCUUGGGAUAGACCCUCCCCCGGAUCUCCGGGGUGUGGGGUGACCAUGUUCAUUUUCCUCGGCCGGGUCCCCGGCCAAUGGGGAACACAAAACACCCUGUAACCACCUGUAACUGUCUGAUAAAACAAACAAAAUCAAAACUUUCAACAACGGAUCUCUUGGUUCUG